rnacentral:rRNA from 1 species
UCAGCAGGGACGAAGCCUUAUGGUGACGGUACCUGCAGAAGAAGCACCGGCCAACUACGUGCCAGCAGCCGCGGUAAUACGUAGGGUGCAAGCGUUGUCCGGAAUUAUUGGGCGUAAAGAGCUCGUAGGCGGUUGGUCGCGUCGGCUGUGAAAACCCGGAGCUCAACUCCGGGCCUGCAGUUGAUACGGGCCGACUGGAGUGGUGCAGGGGAGACUGGAAUUCCUGGUGUAGCGGUGAAAUGCGCAGAUAUCAGGAGGAACACCGGUGGCGAAGGCGGGUCUCUGGGCACCAACUGACGCUGAGGAGCGAAAGCGUGGGGAGCGAACAGGAUUAGAUACCCUGGUAGUCCACGCCGUAAACGUUGGGCGCUAGGUGUGGGGGCCAUUCCACGGUCUCCGUGCCGCAGCUAACGCAUUAAGCGCCCCGCCUGGGGAGUACGGCCGCAAGGCUAAAACUCAAAGGAAUUGACGGGGGCCCGCACAAGCGGCGGAGCAUGUUGCUUAAUUCGAUGCAACGCGAAGAACCUUACCUAGGCUUGACAUGCGCGGAAAUCUCGCAGAGAUGUGGGGUGCCUUUGGCGUCGCGCACAGGUGGUGCAUGGUUGUCGUCAGCUCGUGUC